UCACAGGCCUCCUUUCCACUGCCGGUCACCAUGGCCACUUCUGCCAGGAGCUGUCCCCUCCCCCGGCUAGGCCCCCUCCUGCUUCCACUUGGUCCUGUUGCUGCCGGACACUGGGGCGAGUCAUCUGUCGCAAGAGCAGUAAGUAUUGCACUCCUGAAAUGGUUAAUUUUAAAAACGUGGGUCUGAAGAACCCCUGCACAAAGGCAGUGACCCUCUGGCUCCUUCGCCUCCAGGCCUGGUCUCUAAAGAAGCUGGCCUCCAGGUGGCAGUGCAGAGGAGCGACGCUACCAAAUCUUCCAGAGCUGUCUUUGGAGGGUAGCUUACCCGAGGCCAGGGGCGGAGGGGAGGGGGUGAGGGGUGGGUGCUGAGACCCUCGUGGCUGAAAUGGUGGACUCUGCUGGCUGCUGGGUGGAGGUUUAGGCAGGAGGAGCUGGAAGGGAGAGAGUGGAGGUCCUGAAAGUAAGUGACUGAGAGCUUGAGGAACAGGAGGAGGCUGUGGUCAAAGUGGAGUGGGCCAGCUGAGAGAUGGAAAGUUCCCAGUGAUGGUGAGGUCCAGGGGAGGGGGUGGAGGUGGGGUUGGUAGCUGCAGGGGAACAGGCUGAAGAUCCCUGAAAGGUCAAGGAGAGGAGAGGCCAGGGUGGUGGAUGCUGAAGUCACCCAGGAAGGCGGCCAGACUUGGGUGGGGAGAGGAACCCUAGAGGCAGGUGCCUGAGUCUCCCUACAGCAGGGGGGUUGGGAGGAUGUCUGACACGAGCUGGGUAAAGCAGGUUCAGCUGGAGAGCUGG